GGGUGCGAUCAUACCAGCACUAAUACACCGGAUCCCAUCAGAACUCCGCAGUGAAGCGUGCUUGGGCGAGAGUAGUACUAGGUUGGGUGACCUCGUAGGAAGUCCUGGGGUUGCACCCC
rnacentral:rRNA from 1 species